UGCCCAGACUCCUACGGGAGGCAGCAGUGAGGAAUAUUGGUCAAUGGGCGGAAGCCUGAACCAGCCAAGUCGCGUGAGGGAAGAAGGCCCUGCGGGUCGCAGACCUCUUUGGACGGGGAGCAAGGCCGCCGACGUGUCGGCGGAAGGAGAGUACCCGUAGAACAAGCAUCGGCUAACUCCGUGCCAGCAGCCGCGGUAAUACGUAGGGGGCAAGCGUUAUCCGGAUUUACUGGGUGUAAAGGGAGCGUAGACGGAAAGGCAAGUCAGAAGUGAAAGCCCGUGGCUCAACCGCGGAACUGCUUUGGAAACUGUUAAGCUGGAGUACUGGAGAGGCAAGCGGAAUUCCUAGUGUAGCGGUGAAAUGCGUAGAUAUUAGGAGGAACACCAGUGGCGAAGGCGGCCUGCUGGACGACAACUGACGGUGAGGCGCGAAAGCGUGGGGAGCAAACAGGAUUAGAUACCCCUGUAGC
rnacentral:rRNA from 1 species